rnacentral:siRNA from 1 species
UCACCGUUGGUGGUGCUCUUAUGG